rnacentral:rRNA from 1 species
GAAUUACAUGCCCUUCAGCGGGGAAUAGCCCAGGGAAACUUGGAUUAAUACCCCAUGGUAUCGCAAGAUUAAAGGUGGCCGCAAGGCUGUCGCUGAAGGAUUGGUUCGCGCCCUAUCAGCUUGUUGGUGAGGUAACGGCUCACCAAGGCUACGACGGGUACCUGGUCUGAGAGGACGAUCAGGCACACUGGAACUGAGACACGGUCCAGACACCUACGGGUGGCAGCAGUCGAGAAUAAUUCACAAUGGGGGCAACCCUGAUGGUGCAACGCCGCGUGGAGGAUGACGGUCUUCGGAUUGUAAACUCCUGUCAUCCGGGAGUAAGACCUGGCUGUGAAUAGCAGACAGGGUUGAUAGUACCGGAAGAGGAAGGGACGGCUAACUUCGUGCCAGCAGCCGCGGUAAUACGAAGGUCCCGAGCGUUGUUCGGAAUCACUGGGCGUAAAGGGAGCGUAGGCGGCGUGGUAAGUCAGAUGUGAAAUCCCGGGGCUCAACCCCGGAACUGCAUCCGAUACUGCCGUGCUAGAGGAUUGGAGAGGUAGCUGGAAUUCUUGGU